rnacentral:tRNA from 1 species
UUAAUCGAAGCCAAAAUAAUGAGGCAUCUUAAUGUUAAUAAGAUAAUUGAACUUUUUAAAAAUCCGAUUAAA